GGACGCCGGGGCCCGCCAUCCCCAACGUCCACCGCGAGCUCCCUAGAUCCACGGUCUGGAGCAGGUCCAGAAGACUCACCUGGCAGGACGCCCCAGGGGCCACAGUCGCCCUCCCCACGGGCCACCCCAAUCCUGCCGCGGCUCCGUGGCUCUCCCUACCUUUACCUGAGGUGAAGCAAGGACGUAGAAGCAGCUACGGCGCGCUACCGAGCACCUCACACCGCUCUCAAAAGUACUGCUCAGCCUCCCGGCCCGCCGAGGCGCAGGCGAUAGCAGCCAACUUGAUGCUCUUCACUUCUUACAAAUUGGCAUGCCAGGCUGCUGCUCAGGUGAUCUGCCUCUUGGACCAGCUCUGAACAUGGGACAAUGAUCAGUGCAAGAUCCCUGAGAUGCUGAGACACGAUGGGAUGGAGGAAAGCUAUGGGACAAGUGGCCUUUCAUAGGAGGAGGAGCCCUUGUCAAAUGUGAGGAGCGAAGCAGGACAGGAGCAUGAGAACAGGAAGCCAGAAGUUAUGGGGACACUCAAGCAGCACUAGGGAGAGGCUCAUGAGUAGAAGAACUGAGGCAUCCUGCAAACAAACAGCCAUGGACUAACCUGUAUUGGGAGCAGAUUCUCCAGCUCCACGUCUGUUCCUUAGUCUCUGUUGAGGUGAAACUCCAAUAUCUGAACCCAACCAGAAAAAUAAGCAACCUGUAUACAAGCCAAGUUAAAGUUUCACUCCUGUAAUGGAUGAGGAGAAACCAGAAGAUAUUUCUCAUGCACAGGGAGUGCAUGAAUCCCCUGAAUUGCCAGGUUUCAGGGUCACAUGAGACCUCUAGAAGGCUCUGCUCAUCAUCACUUUAUCAUCUGCUGAUAUACCUAUUCUAACGAAGGAGGGAGAGGAGUAAUGCACAAGAAACUCAGGCCAAUGGGGGAGCAAGAAGAAAACGAAGAAGUGCAGUGCAUGCGUCAUCGGUGUUUAACAGUCAGAAGCGAAACAGUUCAGAACAAGGCCUGCCCUGUCAAAAGAAGAGCUAAAAGACAGUUAUAUAAAAAUUAAGAAUAACUCAAUCUCAGUGUGACUACUGAUCCGCCGCCACGUGGCUUCCCGGACACACUGCUGCAGCGCCAACAGUGAAGAGGAGCUCUCCAUCACAACCAGACAGCAGAAGCACAGCACAGUGAAGCCCACCUGCCCACAUGAUGCACAAUAAAGGUAUUAAUUUACAACAGAUGGAUUUUAUGCCUUGUACAGGUAUGAACACAGUGAAGAUUUGACGAUGGUUCUCUCUUUUAGCUGAACGCUGGAGUUUUAAUUACUGACAUUUUCUUGGAAAAAAUUAUCCUUUGUGGUUUUAAAACGUGGGUUUUUUUUUUUUUUUUUUUUUUUGCUCAAGUCACAUGUUCUAACAAGACAGUUUUAAUAAGCCAGUUUGACUAGAUGUAAAGUACUUGGAUUAAAGUGAUAAUCUUACUUUGUGGCCUAUAAAUUAACACAUCUGAAUUUCUUUUUAAGAAUUCAGAAACCAGUAACUUCCAAACAACUUGAAAUUGAAUAAGUAUUUUCAGCAACCCAGGGGUGAACUAAAUGCAACAGAUUAUUCAACUUUAAAAAGUCUUACUUACUGUACAGAUUUUCCAUAUUAAACCUCUGGUAUGCCUCAAUUUUUUACUUAAAAGUCUCGGACUUUGAGGGCAUACAACAUUUUUUGGACAUAUAUAACCAUGAUGUACUUUAAUACUCCAAUCUUAGGUUGUGAUUUUAGAGGUUGUUUUGGUAUCAUUAAAUACCAAUGGGAACAAACCAGAAAAUUAAAUAAAAAUAUAAUUCACCACUCACACACCCUUAAGGGUCUAGAUUCAAUUUCCAAAAGCAUAAUAUUGGGUAGUUACUUGCAGUUGUGAAAAUAAUUUCAAUCUUGGAAUCUUGGUACACAACCCCAAAAUUAAAAAAAAAGGAAAUCCACGUAAUCCCAGUGUCUUUAAAAUAAUGCUGCCAGCCCGACCCCACCUCACCCCACAGUCAACCAGUUACCAUGGUUCAGGAUAGGGCAAACUUAGGUUUUGGACAGAUGAAGAGUUCAAUGGCUGUUAAUUAGCACAGGCAAGAAAAGAAGGAAAAUGAAAAGUUGAUAAAUGUUAACUCAACAAUUAUACUCUUUACACAGCUUGCCUUAAAACUGCUCCAGUUCAGACUUACUCUGUUCAAAAGUGAAUAUACAGAACGUUAGUGUAUCUCUCUAUUUAAAUCUCAGUCUCAGUACUAAUCUUCUACCUCCAUGAAACAUACACAACAAAACAAAAGGAAGAGCUAGGGAUUUGGGAAGAGGCACUUCCAUAAAAAAAGAAAGAGAAGAUUAUUUCAGAUUUGAAUUUACCAUUUUUACCAUUUUUUCUGUUUCAAAGUCCCAGAUAAUAUACAUUUCUUCGUUCAUUAUUCAUUUUCUAAGUGCCUACUAUGGCUGGAGUACUCUAUUCGAUUUUAAGCUUAGAGAUUGAAACAGAAACAGUCCCUGGCCAUCUCACCCUUCAUUAACUUGCUGUGUGGAAGACAGGCUACAGACUGGACCCUCAUGAGGCAGUGGUAGUAGGGCCCACAGGGAGGUGUGCUACUGAAGCACCCCGAGAGCCCAGAGCCCAACAUGCCCGUGGUGAGAGGUGCUCCUGAGGAGACAGAGUUCAGUGCAUCCUCCCUAUGGAGUCCUGGAUUUACUAGAUUUCAGUCCUCUUCCCCUGACUGAUUUCAAUCCACUCACCCUCCCACUUUUUUUUUUUUAAAUAAUAGGCUUUCUGCCCCACUAAAGGAAUUUUAGGCUUCUGCAACAAGUGGAGGAGGCAUUUUGAAGAUGGGACACAAAGAAGUCUUCUUUCUCCAGAUCCAGAAGUCAGGCCUUAUAAGAAUUCAAGCCAAAAAAAGUUCAUCCAUGGGAAUAACGGUUCUUCUAUCAUCCAGCUCAUAUUUGUGCCAACAGAGCUGAGGGACCUGAGUAAUUCAAGAGGCUAGGGGUUGGGGGGCAGAUGUGUCCAGUGGCUCCCACAGCCCCGCCGUCCUGAAAGUCAUGCCAGUUAAUGUGCCUCGGGGUGCAUCAGCCCUCCCGACAGAUGACUACUAGGAAAUUAAUCCCCAGUUAAUAAUGUGCUUUGGACCAAGUAAGUCAAGAUUAUUUUUCCUACAAUUAUACAAAGAUAUGCUUUUCCAGAAGGGAACUUCUGGAAAAAGAACAAAAUACACUAUGCUUAAAAUAUUAUUCACAUAUUUAGAGAAGAAAGAACCUAAAAUAGCAGAAGACCUGAAUACCAUGAUCCACGGUGCCCACCCCUGGGAGCAUGUCUUUGUGUGGGACAAGACCUAGCACAGCAGGGCUGGUUUCUAAGAGUACGGUGAGGCACCAUUGAACUCAUCAAGGAACUAUGCCUAGUCUUGCCCCUCUGGUUUAUGUCACCAGUAUCAAAGAGAGAGGACCUUUGGAUGCCUGAAUGUUUAUGUCACCAGUAUCAAAGAGAGAGGACCUUUGGAUGCCUGAAUGAGGCAAGAACUAAUGCGAAGGCUAUACUUUGCUUUGUUUUCAUAUCUUGCCCUCAGCUGCCUUAAGAGAAUUAUGCCCUGAUCUGGCACAGCGAUGAAUGUCUACGGUUAUACUGCUGCUGCUGGUGUGCUGCUGGUGAGGUGGUGGGGUGUGGGUGUCUUUUAAGGAAAGCGCUACUAUUUUAGCUCUCUUCCACUCCAGCUCUACAAAUCAGUGCAAGUCUAGUUCAGGCAGGGCCAAACCAUUUUGUUCACCUACUUUCCUGCCAGUGAUUUCAACCUUGACCUUCAAAAAUGCUCUGCAAGAUUAAAAGUGAUUUAAGAUUGUUUUCUUUCAGUGCAAACUGCCAGUUGAUACAACCUCUUCAGUUUCUGCCUGCCAGUAUAAGAUAGGGAAUUGCUGGGACUAUUUAGUGUAAAUAAAAUAAUUUCUUAAACAUUGAAAUACCAGUAACAGCUGGGGGAGGCCUCACCAUUAGUCAAUUACACUUAUGAAACUUUCAGAUAGAAAUUUUAUUUUCAGUGGAUUCUGUUUUUCUUUAUUAACUGCAAAAUCAGCAAGUCAUUGGUUAAAAAGCACACUCUUUCUGCUUGAAGUCAAAUAAGUAUUUACCCUAAGAGGCAAAGUCCAGUAUCUACAGUAAAAACUGACCUGACCUUUGGUAUUCCGCAAGGGCCUGAACUUCCAUUCCAUUCCCAGUGCUGGAUGUGGAGAAUGGGUGGUCCCAAGCAACAAUCAUUUGCCUUUCUGUCAAAAGCUGUCUUGGUUUAAAUGUACUGUAUUUUCUCUGCCUCUUCUUCUUAUUGGAACAUGUUCUAGUCUACUCGCCAGGUGCUACUUCUGGCAGUCAGAAAUAGUGCCACUUUUCAACUUCAAGUUUCUUACCAACCUUUGUGCAUUCAUGCAGCAAGAGUUCAUGAAAUAGCUGCAAAGUGCUGGACACUGUUAGGUUCUGGGGAUUGCAAGAGAAAGAGAGUUUCUGCCUUCUAGAUGCUCAAGUCUGGGGGUGGGGUAGGUACAGCAGGGGUGAUCAAUUCACAAAAAUUUACUUUUAAAAAUGUGUGUUAUGGGCUGACUUGUAUCACCUCAAAAUUCAUAUGGGGAAGUCCUAACCACCAAUACCUCAGAAUGUGAUUGUAUUUGGAAACAGGAUCUUUACAGAGGCAAUUAAGUUAAAAUAAGGACAUCAGGGUGGGCCCUAAUCUGAAGUGACCCAUGUCCUUCUAAGAAGAGAUUAGGACACAGACACACAGAGGAAAGACCAUAUGAAGACACAGGGAGAAGACAGCCAUCUACAAGCCGAGAAGGGAGGCCUCAGAAGAAACCAACCCUGCCAACAUCUUGAUCUCAGACUUCGAGCCUCCAAGAUUGUUAGAAAAUAAAUUUCUGUUGUUUAAGCUGCCCAGCCUGUGGCACUUUGUUAUGGCAGCCCUCGCAAACUAAACACAGUGUGCUUUUUAAGGGCAACAACAAAAAAGAAAUAUAUAGGUUAUGUCAAAUGUAAUAGGUGCUGGAACAUCUAUCAACAGACUAAACAACAAACAAAACCAACAUUUAGCAUAAUAUCCAGUAGUGCUGUCAACAAAGGAAAUGGGGGUGGCAGUGAGCACAUCUGGGAGGGCAUUUGAUGGCUGUCAGAAUCAGCCAAGGAAGACAGAAGGGUGAGGGGUAAGUGCAGAAUGAGCUCCAUGCAGGCAAGUGGCCCUGUGGCCAGGUCUCCCUGCAGCUCCCAGGCCCCACAGCAGUAACAAGACCCACAUGAACCCAUGAGUUUCUGUGCCCUCAGUUUUCUAACUAGUUCAGAAUAUUAGGAACUGACAAUGACCCUAUGACUGAAGCUUUUGAAUGCUGAUAAUAUGAGGAUCAGAAAACUGGUAAGCUGAUCUAUCUAUCUAGAGUCCAUCUGUGCUUGCUGAACUGUAAAGCUGCCCAUUCUUCUUGGUGCUCAUCAACUGACACUCCAAACAUGGACACGUGGCUGAUAGUGCAUUCCAUUCAUUCAUUGUCUGAAUUCAAGUUUGUGUUUUUCAUGAAGGCCAAUUAAAUUAACUUUCUUUUUGACACUUCA
rnacentral:antisense_RNA from 1 species